GGAUGUACUUACGUGAGGUUAGGUGAAAAUUAAAAAAUUAAGAAAUUAAAAUUGAUACUUUAAGCUGGUAGAGCAUCAAUUAAGUAUAAAGAUAAGCUAAAAAUAUUGAUUAGUCAUGGACCUCCUUUUCGAGAUAUUUGAGAUUUAAAAUAUGGCGGGAAAAGGCUGACUUGGACUUUUACCUUAUAUUUGCAUUGGUAUUAUUUGUGUCUCAAAACAGAAGAAAGAAAAUCAAGAAUCUUCUAAAAUUUUGGUAAAUGACCUUUCAUGAGCUAUUAAGUCUUAUAUGAAAAAAUAAAUGGGUGUUAUGGGGCAAAACAUUUUACAUUGUAUUGUAUGGAAAAAUACCAAGGAGUCCCAACAUUUUACACAAAUUCCAAAACCUCACCAAAGUACAUCCUUA
rnacentral:lncRNA from 1 species